rnacentral:rRNA from 1 species
GAUGAACGCUGGCGGCGUGCCUAAUACAUGCAAGUCGAGCGAACAGACGAGGAGCUUGCUCCUCUGACGUUAGCGGCGGACGGGUGAGUAACACGUGGAUAACCUACCUAUAAGACUGGGAUAACUUCGGGAAACCGGAGCUAAUACCGGAUAAUAUAUUGAACCGCAUGGUUCAAUAGUGAAAGACGGUUUUGCUGUCACUUAUAGAUGGAUCCGCGCCGCAUUAGCUAGUUGGUAAGGUAACGGCUUACCAAGGCAACGAUGCGUAGCCGACCUGAGAGGGUGAUCGGCCACACUGGAGCUGAGACACGGUCCAGACUCCUACGGGAGGCAGCAGUAGGGAAUCUUCCGCACUGGGCGAAAGCCUGACGGAGCAACGCCGCGUGAGUGAUGAAGGUCUUCGGAUCGUAAAACUCUGUUAUUAGGGAAGAACAAAUGUGUAAGUAACUAUGCACGUCUUGACGGUACCUAAUCAGAAAGCCACGGCUAACUACGU